UACGGAGGGUGCGAGCGUUGUCCGGAAUCACUGGGCGUAAAGGGCGCGUAGGCGGCCUGAUAAGUCGGGGGUGAAAUCCUGCGGCUUAACCGCAGGGCUGCCUUCUAAACUGUCAGGCUAGAGCACAGUAGAGGCAGGUGGAAUUCCCGGUGUAGCGGUGGAAUGCGUAGAGAUCGGGAAGAACAUCAGUGGCGAAGGCGGUCUGCUGGGCCGUUGCUGACGCUGAGGCGCGACAGCGUGGGGAGCAAACAGG
rnacentral:rRNA from 1 species